AGAACACCACCAUGCAAGUUGCAUCCAACUUAUCGAAAACAACACAAAUCUCAACAUACUUGCCUAGAGGUGCAGACAAUUCAGACGAAAUGGAAACAUACUUACCAAAGAGGACAAUAAAAUAUAUGUUAUAAAGUGACAUCAGAUCUAAGGACAGGCAAUACCUACGACAAGCAGAGGUCACCUCUAACAUGAUGAACAAGC
rnacentral:lncRNA from 1 species